rnacentral:rRNA from 1 species
UACGUAGGGGGCAAGCGUUAUCCGGAAUUACUGGGUGUAAAGGGUGCGUAGGCGGUAAUGUAAGUCAGGUGUGAAAGCCCAAAGCUCAACUUUGGGACUGCACUUGAAACUACAUAACUAGAGUACAGGAGAGGUGAGUGGAAUUCCUAGUGUAGCGGUGAAAUGCGUAGAUAUUAGGAGGAACACCAGUGGCGAAGGCGACUCACUGGACUGUAACUGACGCUGAGGCACGAAAGCGUGGGGAGCGAAC